UACGUAGGUGGCAAGCGAUACUCGGAAUCACUAGGCGUAAAGCGCAGGUAGGCGGUUCAGUAAGUCUUUUGUGAAAGCUCCCGGCUCAACUGGGAGAGGCCAAGGGAAACUACUGGACUAGAGUGUGGUAGGGGAUACUGGAAUUCCUGGUGUAGCGGUGAAAUGCGUAGAUAUCAGGAGGAACACCGGUGGCGAAGGCGGUUCUCUGGGCCUUACCUGACACUGGAGGAGCGGAAAGCGUGGGGAGCGAACAGG
rnacentral:rRNA from 1 species